UCCUCUCCUCACCGAGGUCUUUGGGGAUCCAGAAUUUCUUCCCCUCCAGAGGCUGCAGAGCUUGGCCAGACUGGUCAGGCAUGGACCUGGCAGGUGCUGCUGUUACCUGUGCAAAUGACCCCCCAAAAAACCACGAGCCAGUUUUAAUGACAAGUAGGGACCAACAAAAGCUCUUUUGUAAUUUAAAACCAUCAACCAAAUAAAUACAAGUAGUUCCAGAGGUGCCAGCAGUGGGUUUCCUACAGACUGGCUUUACACUGGGAGCCAGAGGUUCCAUUAAAGCUUCUUCCCUGGAUACAGGGUAUUCCAGGCUGUGCUGCUUCAUGUUGGAUUCACUUCUUACAGGUGGUCACAAUGAUCUUUAAGGUCUUUUUCAACCUAAACGAUUCUAAGUGGAGUCUCCAGUGUCUGGAACAGUUCAUGCAGCCCUCAGCAGAGGCAGUCAGGAGGUUUUUCCUUCCAGCAGCCUGAAUUCUCCCAAGCCUGCGAGAGAAAAACUCCCUCUGGGACAUCCCUGUCAAGUCUGGCUGAAAAUGGACAGUCUGUUCAUGAGCUCCUGGGGAUAGAGAGCAGAAAGAAAAGUGACUGUGACACUGGAGGUGGCACCUGUGUCCUCAGGGGAGCACACAGCCUGCUUCAGCUCAGGGGCAGAAGGACGGACAGCAGCGCUCCCCGGAGCCGUGUCCCGACGGGAGCCGUGUCCUGCUAUUGCCACCUCGUGGGGCCUCGCAGCAAUGACCAGGUCACCACCGCGGGUGAUGGCACAGUGCAACAAACUCACACGAGCAGCACCUGCCUGCCUGGAGGACUUUCCAUGCCAAUGGAGGACCUUCUCUGCAGACUCGGGGCAGGAUGCUCUAGUCAAAGAUGGACAUCAAGAAAACACUCCCUACUUCCUAAAUGUUCUCAGGCACCACUUUUUAUGUCUUUUUGUACCACAGGGUGCUUGUCCUGAGGGAGACGUGAGGCUUCUCCUCCUGACAGAGCACAUGUGCUGGAGCUGGCAGGAAUGUCAGUCCUUGCACAGACAACCCACAGCCACACUGGGACCACCCCAUAAUGGAUAAUUUUGUGCUCAUGUCAUCUGUCUGGACCUCAACUAGACAGGCAGAGUCUGCCUGUUGUCCCUGCUCCUGGAGCAUUGUGCCAAGGUCAGGACUGUGACGCAGGAAGGAGAAAUCAGGGCUGUUCCUGCCCAUCCUGCAUCUGCUCUCGGAGUGAACUAACAGUUCCACUUCCUCAGCAUGCUGCUCUGAGGUCUUUCCUAAGCACCAAACUCAUACAGAGAAAAUAAAUAACAGCUCAGUAAUAA